rnacentral:lncRNA from 1 species
UUACAUACGCCCUUUUCGUCCUAACUUUGUCUCAAUACCAAUUUGGGAUAUUUUUCUGAAACAUCAACUGACUUGCCAAUUGCUUUGUGUUUUUUUUUGUUACUGCAGUAAACAAAUGAAAACAUGAGGAGCUCAAACACGGUUCUUUUCACGUGGCCUUGGCUUUACUUGGAUUUGUUGCUGCAGGAUAUUGACGGCAUGAUG